rnacentral:lncRNA from 1 species
GUUGUAAUCCUCGUCUUUAUUAAAGACCCUUUUUUGUUGCUACUUUAGUGGGUCUCUAUAUUUCAGAUCAAUAUAUCUGACAGCAGGAGAGGGAUCUUGAAGAUUUUUGCCUAGUCAGCCACCAUUUUUGUCCCUGGAUGUCUAGUAUCAGGUCUCCCUGAAAAGAUGACUGCCGUACUUGGAAUUAUGAAGCAUGUAUGGCCACUCCAACAGGUUCUGUCCCAUCCUGCAAAGGGAAGGCUGCCAGGCCAUGGGAAGAAAGAUCAAGGACUGAACUACAGCAGUAGUUCCAGUGCUUCCAGGUGCUGCCUCCCUCAUCUUCCUCUUCCUGCAGGAAAAACAAGAGAACAAACCCAACAUCAGAAACAGCUGAUCUGGCUCAACUUGAUGGGACUCUGAGUAUAUAGAGGGGAUUUCAUCCCUUUGGUGUUGGUUUCUAGCAG